UGCACCACCCCCACCCCGGGCGGUUUCAGGUUUCUUGAAUGAGUGGUAUCUUGAGAUUUUGGGUUGCACACCUUAUGGGAAAACUUUAAUAGGGGAAAAAUUGCGAGUUGAAGUGAAGGAAAGUUGGGAAAUCCAGGAAUGGGUUUAGAAUUUUCCAAAAUAGGGUUCAGUUCCUUUUUCUACACUGUUGGGUUGGGGACUCUGAUGUGCAAUGAUGUCAGGUGCAUGAUGGGAAGUACAAAUUGAAAGGGCAUAGGAUAUGCACAUAGAAUUUUAAUAAAGCAGAGGAUUGACUGUCACCUUAGCUGGCAUCGCUGGUCCUAGCAGGUCUGAAUGGUCUACUGCAAUAUGCUAUCUGCACCAGCCUCUGGUUACUUUGCAGUUUGUCCCUUGCUUUAACCAGCACCUAUCUAUCUGACUGUGUCAGUUUGGCAUUUGAAUUUCAAAGAUCCUACAGUAAUGUUGCUCCAAAUAUCAGAUAGUGAGUCAACUCUCAGUGAGGUGGAGCUGAGCAUGCAGAGUCCGUGUAGAGCAAACCAUGUCUGAUGCUGGCAUGUAUCAGUUUCAGGCUAUUGCUGUUGAGAGAGCAUGCGAACCUUGAACCCACUUAUGACUUUGAUGUUGAGUGGGAAAGAAUGUUUAAAGUAGGCAGAUUUUAAAUCAGGACAAGAAUCAAUGAAAGACUUGGAAAAUGGUUUUGAAGGACUCCUCUGAUUUCCUAGUAUGGAACUGUAGUAAACACAGCCUUUACAACACGUUUGUGUGAGCACAAUCUGUGGCAAACCUUGCUUUAUUCCCAAGGAACCCAUACAAUGGGAAGAGCACAUCCUCAGUGAAGCACUGCAAAAGCCUUGAUCUCUUUAUGCAGGAAGAAGACUGGACUCACUUUCCUGUAUUUGACAGCACAUUUGUGUCCUAUUCAAGGAACAGAGAUGGUAUUUGGCAAAGUUGUUUGAUCAAGCACAAGGUAGAUAACAGUCAUUUGCUCCCAGCACGACUGACUCUGGAUCUGUGGGCUCAGAGCAGUAUUGUUGCCGAUGGAAAAAGGACUGAAGAGAGACGCACACACAUGCACCCCAGGUGCUGAGCACUGAACACUCGGGACUCACACAUCAUAAGUCAGUAAGCUCUCCCUUCUUCCACCAAGCUUUGGUUUUACAGCCAUCUCUCCAGCUCAUGUGGAGCUCAUUGGAAAAGCACACACAUCAAACCUUUGAAAAUAGACACUGCUGAUCUUUGGAAAAAAGAAAGUUCAGAAGAUCCUCCGAAAGAUCAUCUGUCCUCAAGGAAUUGAUCAAAGACUUCUAAUUGCAGAAAAAGCAAGGAAGGCCGGUUAGGAAAAAAAACAUACUCCUACAGAGCAGGUGGGCUGAAGGAAAGAGGGAAAAUAGAGGGAAACUACUCUACUGUAAGGCCCUGGACUCUUGUCUUGUGACCACCUUAAUGGAGCUCAUCUUAAUGGGCUCUGGGUGUAACUUGGGUCCUCACUCUUAGUACUUUGCCAACUGAGACAUUCCCCCAACUCUGUGUUGUCUUUUCUAUACAUCCUCAAGCUGCUAUAGACAAAAGAGAAUUGAGACAUUUGUCUCUACCUAAAUCUGGGCAAAACUCUAAAGACACUGUUCCCCUUUCCAGUGUCAGUCUCAGUCUGUGGCAGUGGUGAGCAAUGGACCUGAGUACCCAUUAACCGUAAUGUAGAGUAGUUUCAAUGAGAAGUGCCACUGUGUACAUCAAUUUGUUUGUCCAUCACUACCACUCUACAGCUCAGCUGGACACUGUUCAACCCUGAUGCCCAUAUAAUCUCUCUGCAGAACGCAAGGUAAAGGAGCCAGUGCUCUCUAGAACAUUCUAAUUCCAUUGCAGAGACUCAGAACAGAAUAACAAUCAGCGAUGUGUACAAUGUAUCCAAAGCUUAGCAGUGAGUCAUGCCCUCAACACCUGCUUUUCAGUACCCCCAUCCUUACCCACUCACCAACAAUCCAGGUUUUAUUACUAUGCCAUAAAAGAAAGAGAAGAAACCAGAUUUUGUGAAAUGUUUAAAUAACUUUAAAAUUUAUUUAAUAAAAAUUGCAUAAACACAACCAUAAGAUAAUAGAAAAGUUAAAUACAAACUACCACAUGUAAAAUAGGUUAUUGUAUAACUGGUAGUAUCAAGCCUAAAUACUAAAUCCCCAACUUCCACAGUGGGAAUGUUAAUAUAAUAAAAAAAAUUUAAUUUCACAUUAAUAUAUGCCAAAAUUUUUUAACAAUUUUUUAAAUUAAAUAGAACUUUUCAAAUGAACAGCUCAAUUCAACCCUAGAUGGGUUUUGUAUUAAAUGAGAUCUGAGAUAAAAAAUGGACAUUUGCCAUAAUGUUUUCUUCAAAUCAACUUCCAAAACUAAUGUAGGUCUGGGAAAGAAUGAGUCCUUUAAGGACCAUUAUGCUUUUCUUCAUAGUCCUGGAUGAGCAGGCAGUAGUUGGGCCACAAUUCUACACCCUGUACGAGUCAGUCAGUAGAGUAUGGUGGUUCAGGACAUCACAGGUCCUGGCAACCCAUUUUCAUUUCUUAUACUAUUUUCAAGCUUAAAAAGCCCAAAAUGUUAAAAAAGCACCACCACUACCCCAGCUUCAAUUUAACAGCAUUACUACAGCAUUAGAGAUGCUAGUGAACAGCUCCAGCUUCUUCCUGCUGAUGUCCCUCUUGAUCUUCAGCAGGGGAUGACACGAUGUGAGCAUUCCUUUCAGAAAUAGUCCAAACAAGGAAUAGAGGAAUGAUAAUGGCUAAGGUUUGCACGGGAGUAAAGGAAUAUAAUCAAUGGGGUUCGGUAAGGAAGAAAAAAAUGGGGAAAAAAGCAGUCAA
rnacentral:sRNA from 1 species